rnacentral:miRNA from 1 species
GUGGUUUACAAAGUAAUUCA